rnacentral:rRNA from 1 species
GACGAACGCUGGCGGCGUGCUUAACACAUGCAAGUCGAGCGGAAAGGCCACUUCGGUGGUACUCGAGCGGCGAACGGGUGAGUAACACGUGAGUAAUCUGCCCCUGGCUUUGGGAUAGCCACCGGAAACGGUGAUUAAUACCGGAUACGACAACUUCUCGCAUGGGAUGGUGGUGGAAAGUUUUUUCGGCCAGGGAUGUGCUCGCGGCCUAUCAGCUUGAUGGUGAGGUAAUGGCUCACCAUGGCUUCGACGGGUAGCCGGCCCGAGAGGGUGACCGGUCACACUGGGACUGAGACACGGCCCAGACUCCUACGGGAGGCAGCAGUGGGGAAUAUUGGACAAUGGGCGGAAGCCUGAUCCAGCAACGCCGCGUGAGGGAUGACGGCCUUCGGGUUGUAAACCUCUUUCAGCAGGGACGAAGCGCAAGUGACGGUACCUGCAGAAGAAGCACCGGCCAACUACGUGCCAGCCGCCGCGGUAA